UACGGGGGGGGCAAGCGUUGUUCGGAAUUACUGGGCGUAAAGGGCGCGUAGGCGGUUCAUUAAGUUGGAUGUGAAAACUCUGGGCUUAACUCAGAGCCUGCAUUCAAAACUGAUGGGCUGGAGUUCUGGAGGGGAUAGCGGAAUUCCUGGUGUAGCGGUGAAAUGCGUAGAUAUCAGGAGGAACACCGGUGACGAAGGCGGCUAUCUGGACAGAAACUGACGCUGAGGCGCGAAAGCUAGGGGAGCAAACAGG
rnacentral:rRNA from 1 species